GCACUACUGAGGAGUCCCACAAUAGGACAAAACGGCCGUCCAGUGC
rfam:Schistosoma mattheei strain Denwood, Zambia genome assembly, scaffold: SMTD_scaffold0003429